rnacentral:misc_RNA from 1 species
GAAAUGCGAUAAGUAGUGUGAAUUGCAGAAUUCAGUGAAUCAUCGAAUCUUUGAACGCACAUUGCGCCCUUUGGUAUUCCUUAGGGCAUGCCUGUUCGAGCGUCAUCUAAACCUCCAAGCCCUGCUUGGUGUUGGGUGCCUGUCCCGCCUCCGCGCGCGGACUCACCUCAAAUCCAUUGGCGGCCCCCGCGUCGGCCACGAGCGCAGCAGAAACGCGAACUCGUGAGCCCGUCCGGGCGGCUCCCAGAAGCUACACCCACCCAGUUUGACCUCGGAUCAGGUAGGGAUACCCGCUGAACUUAAGC